UACGUAGGGGGCAAGCGUUGUCCGGAAUCAUUGGGCGUAAAGAGCGUGUAGGCGGCUCGAUAAGUCCGCUCUGAAAGCCCGGGGCUCAACCCCGGGAGGCGGGCGGAUACUGUCGAGCUAGAGUCCGGAAGAGGCGAGUGGAAUUCCUGGUGUAGCGGUGAAAUGCGCAGAUAUCGGGAGGAACACCAGUGGCGAAGGCGGCGAUCUGGGAAGAUACUGACGCUGAGGUGCGAAAGCGUGGGGAGCAAACAGG
rnacentral:rRNA from 1 species